AUUGAACGCUGGCGGCAGGCCUAACACAUGCAAGUCGAACGAGUGGCGGACGGGUGAGUAAUGUCUGGGAAACUGCCUGAUGGAGGGGGAUAACUACUGGAAACGGUAGCUAAUACCGCAUACCAUCGGAUGUGCCCAGAUGGGAUUAGCUAGUAGGUGGGGUAAAGGCUCACCUAGGCGACGAUCCCUAGCUGGUCUGAGAGGAUGACCAGCCAAACUGGAACUGGGACACGGGCCAGAGUCCUACGGGAGGCAGGAGUGGGGAAGUUUGCACAAUGGGAGCAAGCCUGAUGCAGCCAUGCCGCGUGUAUGAAGAGGGCCUGCGGGGUGUAAAGUACUUUCAGCGGGGAGGCGUUACCCGCAGAAGAAGCACCGGCUAACUCCGUGCCAGCAGCCGCGGUAUUC
rnacentral:rRNA from 1 species